AUGGGUGAAGGAGGCAGCAGUGUGGCCGGAGAGGAGAGCUGGGCUGGGAGCACAGGAAGGUCCCCAGGACUCUGUGGUCAUCAGUAAGAGAGGGCCCACGUGUAUAUGCUGGUGAACAGAAAUGUCAACCUUUUCAAAGUCUGACAUUUAAGAGAAAAAACUGUGGCUGUUGGUUUGUGGAACAGACAGCUCCUUCUUUAUUGACAUUCCAUACCAUCUGCAAGUCGCUUUUGACUAGCACUCGAGAAAGAAGUAUGGGGACAUUGGAAACGCUCUAAUAGACCACAACCACCUUUGAAAGAGCAGUCAUCUCUAUGAGCCAUAACUAUAAGGAAGAAAUGCAGAUCCCACAGACCAAAAUGGAACAUGUCUCCCAAACUUCUCACCCUGGGGGCUGUGGCUGCUGCAGAAUGGGGGGUGCUGGUGGAUCUAACAUGAAUGAGGCUCGGUGGAGGGGCUGGCUUUGUGCAGGGAGGUUGGGAUGAACAAGGGCAGCAGGCGGCAUCACAGGUGAGAAGGACAUCCCAGGAGGGAGGAAAGAGCCACAGCGUGCUGACGAAGGUGGGAUGGGGUGAGGUGGGGGAGACACAGAGAAGCCCAGAGCCAGCCUCGUGGAAUACACAGAUGUGUCUGGAACGUGUGUCUCUGGAUACACUGAUGGGUCUGCUUCAAGAGAAUUCUUGAUGCUGCAAUGCAUCAGAAGGAGUUCUAGUGAUAGCAUUGUCUCCCAAGUGAAAGUGAUAAACCAGUGACAAUCAGUUUCACUGUGUUGUGGGUGAAUGCAUUUAUGUCAUUUAACAAUACUGCGAUUCCAUUUGUAUAACAAUCUCGGAUGCACUUGUUGUAAUUUUGCAUUAUGUCUUCUCUAAUUAAACAUCUGAACCCUCUGAGGCCUGACUUACC
rnacentral:lncRNA from 10 species